AGGAUGAACGCUGGCGGCGUGCUUAAUACAUGCAAGUCGAACGAAGCACCUGCGACGGAUCCCGUCGGGUGAAGAUGCUUGUGACUGAGUGGCGGACGGGUGAGUAACGCGUGGUAACCUGCCUAUGCAGGGGACAACAGUUAGAAAUGACUGCUAAUACCGCAUAAGCGCACGAGACCGCAUGGCCAAGUGUGAAAAGAUUUAUCGGCAUAAGAUGGACCCGCGUCUGAUUAGGUAGUUGGUGAGGUAACGGCCCACCAAGCCGACGAUCAGUAGCCGACUUGAGAGAGUGAUCGGCCACAUUGGGACUGAGACACGGCCCAGACUCCUACGGGAGGCAGCAGUAGGGAAUAUUGCACAAUGGGGGAAACCCUGAUGCCAGCGACGCCGCGUGAGUGAUUGAAGUAUUUCGGUACGUAAAGCUCUAUCAGCAGGGAAGAUAAUGACGGUACCUGACUAAGAAGCCCCGGCUAACUACGUGCCAGCCGCCGC
rnacentral:rRNA from 1 species